GAUGAACGCUGGCGGCGUGCCUAAUACAUGCCAGUCGAGCGAACAGACGAGGAGCUUGCUCCUCUGACGUUAGCGGCGGACGGGUGAGUAACACGUGGAUACCCUACCUAUAAGACUGGGAUAACUUCGGGAAACCGGAGCUAAUACCGGAUAAUAUAGUGAACCGCAUGGUUCAAUAGUGAAAGACGGUUUUGCUGUCACUUAUAGAUGGAUCCGCGCCGCAUUAGCUAGUUGGUAAGGUAACGGCUUACCAAGGCGACGAUGCGUAGCCGACCUGAGAGGGUGAUCGGCCACACUGGAACUGAGACACGGUCCAGACUCCUACGGGAGGCAGCAGUAGGGAAUCUUCCGCAAUGGGCGAAAGCCUGACGGAGCAACGCCGCGUGAGUGAUGAAGGUCUUCGGAUCGUAAAACUCUGUUAUUAGGGAAGAACAAAUGUGUAAGUAACUAUGCACGUCUUGACGGUACCUAAUCAGAAAGCCACGGCUAACUACGUG
rnacentral:rRNA from 1 species